rnacentral:rRNA from 1 species
UACAGAGGUUGCAAGCGUUGUUCGGAUUUAUUGGGUGUAAAGGGUGUGUAGGCGGCUAUCCAAGUCAGAUGUGAAAUCCCGGAGCUUAACUCCGGAACUGCAUUUGAUACUGUUUAGCUAGAAUACUUUAGAGGAAAGGGGAAUUCCUGGUGUAAGGGUGAAAUCUGCAGAUAUCAGGAGGAACACCGGUGGCGAAGGCGCCUUUCUGGGAAGCUAUUGACGCUGAGACACGAAAGCUAGGGGAGCGAACGGG